rnacentral:rRNA from 1 species
UACGGAGGGUGCGAGCGUUGUCCGGAAUCACUGGGCGUAAAGGGCGCGUAGGCGGCCUGAUAAGUAGGGGGUGAAAUCCUGCGGCUUAACCGCAGGGCUGCCUUCUAAACUGUCAGGCUAGAGCACAGUAGAGGCAGGUGGAAUUCCCGGUGUAGCGGUGGAAUGCGUAGAUAUCAGGAGGAACACCGGUGGCGAAGGCGGCCCCCUGGACCGGUACUGACGCUGAGGCGCGAAAGCGUGGGUAGCAAACGGG